rnacentral:rRNA from 1 species
AGAUCCAAUAGAGUAUAUUAAAGUUAUUGCUGUUAAAAAGCUUGUAAUUCAAUUUGUUGCCUGGAUGGCUCGCCUUGAUCUUAUAUGUGAGUACCUGAGCCAUCCAACUAUCCUUGGGUGGAACCUGUGUGGCAUUAAUUUCUCGUGUAGGGUAUGCCAAUUGUUUACUACAAAAAAACUAGAGUGUUCAAAGCAGGCUUACGCCUUUGAAUAUAUUAGCAUUGAAUAAUGAUAUAGGACUUUGAUACUAUUUUGUUGGUCUGUGCACUUAAAUAAUGAUUAAUAGGGACAGUUGGGGAUAUUAGUUUUUUUGGGUCACAGGUGAAAUUCUUAGAUUCUUUAAAGACCAACUACUGCAAAAGCAUUUAUCAAGGAUGUUUUCA